GGAAAUCACUCCCCCAUUUUAUGCGGCCUCUUCUCUACAAACCUCUCUAUCUCUCUCUCUUUCUCUCUCAUUUACAGAUUUUGAAGCAUCAAACCUCCCUCUACCUCCGCCGAUACAGCCGCCGCCACCGCACCUCCUUUCUUCCUCCUCCCUAAACCGUCGGAGGCCCAGCAAGAUCGUCGGGCCGUCACGAUUUUCACCAUCAAAAACCUCAUCUUCCUCUCUAUUUCAAUGGCGAGCGGCGAGAAUCCACGCCGCCCCCUUCUCCAUCAAAAACCUCAUCUCCCUUCUCUAUGUUUAAGCGUUUCCAAUUGGGGUUAUCUGGAGAGAUUGGAGGGGGAUUAUUUAUGUUCGAUCUUUAGCUUCCAUACUGGUUUUGUGACUCGACGCAAGAACUCAUUGGAGGCCAGCGCAACCGUGGAGAUCCGGUGUCUCAUCUCCAAAGAGAUCUCUCAUAGUCGGAUUCUUCAUCUGGGAAUUAAAUCUCUUUGCAGUCUCUGUCUAAUCUGCACUUUUAUUUUUCUUUUCGUCAAAAUAAAUGAUCAAUUUUGGAAUUUGGGGGAUAUUCACGUGUCCAUUAAAUAUGAAUAUAUCUGUUCAUUUAGAAAUUGUGUUCUGUUCAUUUAGAAAUUGAGUUCUGUUCAUUUAUGUUCAUGCGUCCAGUAAAUCUAAAUAAGAAAUCUGAAUAUAUUGUUCAUUUAGAAA